rnacentral:rRNA from 1 species
GAUGAACGCUGGCGGCGUGCUUAACACAUGCAAGUCGAACGGAAAGGCUCCUGCUUGCAGGGGUACUCGAGUGGCGAACGGGUGAGUAACACGUGGGUGAUCUGCCCUGCACUUCGGGAUAAGCUUGGGAAACUGGGUCUAAUACCGGAUAGGACCGCAUUUUGGAUGGUGUGGUGGAAAGUUUUUUCGGUGUGGGAUGAGCUCGCGGCCUAUCAGCUUGUUGGUGGGGUAAUGGCCUACCAAGGCGUCGACGGGUAGCCGGCCUGAGAGGGUGUACGGCCACAUUGGGACUGAGAUACGGCCCAGACUCCUACGGGACGCAGCAGUGGGGAAUAUUGCACAAUGGGCGCAAGCCUGAUGCAGCGACGCCGCGUGGGGGAUGACGGCCUUCGGGUUGUAAACUCCUUUCGCUAGGGACGAAGAGUAAUUGACGGUACCUGGAGAAGAAGCACCGGCUAACUACGUG